rnacentral:rRNA from 1 species
AUGCCGGAACCGCAGGCCAUCCUCCCGCUCCGCGCGCUGCCGCCCGACGCGCCGCUCCCCUUCCCCCCGCCGUUCCACCACCAGACCCCUGCCACCCCCGCCGCCACGGCCACGGCCAACGCCAGCGCCACCCCGACCCCUCCCCCGGCCACGCCCCCGAACCCGACCCCUCCCCCGGUCACGCAUNNNNNNNNNNNNNNNNNNNNNNNNNNNNNNNNCCCAUGGGAGAUCGCCGCGCGCGCCUGGCUCGAGUCCUUCCCCGACGGCCGCCCUCCCACCGAGCCCGAGGUCGACGCCUACAUCGACGCCCACCGCCCCGAGCUCCCAUCCCUCCCCCGUUCCCAGCUCCACCAGCGCCUCCUCGCGCUCCGCGGCGACCAGGUUUUAGAUCCAGACCAAAGUGCAUUCCCAUACAGGUUCCAGCGAACUGAUCUAUGGAAGCCUGUGUAUCAGUGGUUGGAAACUCUUGAGAUGGACUCGCUAGUUACAUCAAAGCAGAUAUCAGACUGGCUUGCAUCGAACCCACAGGUGAUGGAUAGGCUGGUUGAGAAGCAUUCCAAGUAUCAUCUGAUACACUACAGCCAGCGGAUGCACUUGAAAUUGCUCAAGAAGAGAGGGAAGUUGCCAAAGACUCUACAACUUUCUGCGGCUAGAGCCACAUUCCAGCCAAGUGCUGUUCCAGUUGCCCCACCAGAAAGUGUGGCGACCUUACCGAAAUCUCUACCUCCGGCAACAGGUGGAUUUCCAGGUGGCAAUGCAAGCAUAUCUCCAGGUGGCAGUGCAAACAGAUCUCCAGGUGUCAGUGCAAGCAGACUUCCAGGUGGCAGUACACCAAUAAAGGACAAAAAUAUGUCUUUGUCCAAAAAGAAAGAAGCUCUCUUCAAAUAUGAACUUUUGACAGAUUUGCAGAAUCAAUUGACCAGUGUGAUGUUAAAGCACUGUCGUACUGUCGCCAUUAAAGAUACAGAUUCACUGUAUAUGGAUAUUCAAAAGCCAGAGACCAACAUAUUAUAUAUACAAGAAGGGGCAACUACUGCAAGCGCAUCAAACCCUGCAGAUGUGCCAAAGAUUUAUGUCAAUGAACAGCCGAACGCAGGGGGAGUAGUGGAGAGUGAAUUUGGCCAAAAGAGAAAGAGAAACCCAAUCAUUGUUACACCAGCGUGGUGUUACAGUGAAGCUGCAACAGGAACGUCGGAGCGUGAACAGAAUUCUAGUUCAUAUAGUGAUGGUGCGAGAAGUUUUAAUAUAUGGAAGGGACAUGUUAAUCCAUCGUCUACACAGAGAUCUAUAAAGAAAAAUCUAUUGUUCUGCCUAGAGGGGCGUGAAAUCGGUAGCAACUGGUCUCAAGUUUGUUCUUAUGGAGGUUAUGCUGGAAGGAACCGUGAAAGAUGGACCCCAUUUCUUGAAGGAUGGAAUUCACCCGCAGUUCAGUUUGAAGGGCCUGCGGUACAAGCUGUAAGAAAAAGUUACCUAUCUUGGAAUGCAACUUCAUGUGCUUAUACAUCAAGUGCUCCUUCUGCUCAGCCUCAUGACAGGCAAGGUGUACGCAAAGUUCUUGAUGUAAAAUUUCACCCAGAAGGGUUGCCCCAGCUUGUUUCUUGCUCUAAUGAGGCACCAAAUGAAUUAUUGCUUUUCAAUCUUCUUUCUGGGAGGGCUAUUCAACUUAGAGGCCACAAUACUAAGAUCCAGUCAACCUCAUUUGCGGUUAAAGGAGCAAGCGUUGUAUCUUGUGGUUCUAAUUUACUGAAGGUAUGGGACUGCAUAACGGGCUCUUGCCUCUACACCCUGGGUGGCGAUGACCAAAAUUCAGUGGGGCAUACUCAAAAAAUCAAUGCUAUGGCAGUGAAUAAGUGGCAGUCCUGUCUGGUUGUCACUAGUGGAGCAAAAGGUGAUGGGAAGCUUCUACUAUGGAAUGCUCUGAGAGGUGAACUCGCUUCUGAUCUGAAUUCAAACCUGAGGUCACAGGAUAUGGUGUAUCCUUCGAUUGAUACAAUGGAGUUCUGUAGCGAGAAUCUUCUGGCAUGUGGAAGUGACUGCGAUUAUGGUGGCUCAGCUGUGGUACAACUAUGGGAUAUUGAGUCUCCAGAAUCUUACUUAUCUUUCUCUGCAAGCGAUUCGUAUAUUACUUCCCUUAAAAUCAAUCUUGCUGGCAACACUAUCAUUACAGGUUCUGGUGAUGGGACUAUUGGUUUAUUUGACAUCCGUGCUUGUUCUGCAAUUAAUCAUUUGUCGGUGGGGUCUGGUUCUGAGGUUACAUCUGUUUCAUUUAGCAACUGUGGUACCUAUUUUUCUGCCUCUAGCACAUCAAAUAACACUUUGGUUUGGGAUACAAGACUAGUUCCACUAAGUCACACCAGGGAUGCUUUGCGAAGCAAAGACAUGCGUUUUUUCCGGCCUUUACAUUGCUUGAGCCAUGGCAAGCAGAUGCCAACUGCAGAAUAUACGAGCCAACUACCAGGUCAUGUCGAUGAGGGUGAUCAGGGGGUAAACGCCACACAGUGGUUGCAUAAUCAACCUGUCCUUGUUACUGCAAGCGGUGAUGGCAGCGUUGGAAUGUGGGAUGUUACUCUAGGCAAGCCUUGUGUCAGACAUAUCGUCACUCAUAAUCGAUGUGCCAACGCUGUUGCUGUAGCCCCCAAUGAUGAAUACAUCUCCACAGGAGGAAGUGACCAAAAAGUUGUUUUGUAUCAUAAUAGAAAUGGGUGUGCACAUCUUAAUUGGCGUCUUACGUACCCUCUGCCUGGAACUGAUUAA